GAUGAACGCUGGCGGCGUGCCUAAUACAUGCCAGUCGAGCGAACGGACGAGAAGCUUGCUUCUCUGAUGUUAGCGGCGGACGGGUGAGUAACACGUGGAUAACCUACCUAUAAGACUGGGAUAACUUCGGGAAACCGGAGCUAAUACCGGAUAAUAUUUUGAACCGCAUGGUUCAAAAGUGAAAGACGGUCUUGCUGUCACUUAUAGAUGGAUCCGCGCUGCAUUAGCUAGUUGGUAAGGUAACGGCUUACCAAGGCAACGAUGCAUAGCCGACCUGAGAGGGUGAUCGGCCACACUGGAACUGAGACACGGUCCAGACUCCUACGGGAGGCAGCAGUAGGGAAUCUUCCGCAAUUGGCGAAAGCCUGACGGAGCAACGCCGCGUGAGUGAUGAAGGUCUUCGGAUCGUAAAACUCUGUUAUUAGGGAAGAACAUAUGUGUAAGUAACUGUGCACAUCUUGACGGUACCUAAUCAGAAAGCCACGGCUAACUACGUG
rnacentral:rRNA from 1 species